rnacentral:rRNA from 1 species
GGGGGGCAACCCCCCUAGUAGAGUGGCGCACGGGUGAGUAACGCGUGGGUAAUCUGCCCUCGAAUGGGGAAUAACCUCGCGAAAGCGGGGCUAAUACCGCAUAACAUCUUCUGCUCUUCGGAGAGGAAGAUCAAAGGUGACCUCUGCUUGCAAGUUGCCGUUUGAGGAGGAGCCCGCGUCCCAUUAGCUAGUUGGUAGGGUAAUGGCCUACCAAGGCUACGAUGGGUAGCCGGCCUGAGAGGGUGACCGGCCACACUGGAACUGAGACACGGUCCAGACUCCUACGGGAGGCAGCAGUGAGGAAUAUUGCGCAAUGGGCGAAAGCCUGACGCAGCGACGCCGCGUGGAGGAUGAAGGCCUUCGGGUCGUAAACUCCUGUCGAGGGGGACGAAAUGGUGCUCUGUUAAUACCAGGGCGUCUUGACGGUACCCCUGGAGGAAGCCCCGGCUAACUCCGUGCCAGCAGCCGCGGUAAUACGGAGGGGGCCAGCGUUGCUCGGAAUCACUGGGCGUAAAGGGCUCGUAGGCGGUUUGAUAAGUCCUGUGUGAAAUCCCUUGGCUUAACCAAGGAACUGCGCCGGAUACUGUCGAACUAGAGGCCGGGAGAGGGAAGCGGAAUUCCGAGUGUAGC